rnacentral:rRNA from 1 species
UACGUAGGUGACCAGCGUUGUCCGGAUUUACUGGGCGUAAAGAGCGCGCAGGCGGUUCGCCAAGUCAGGUGUGAAAUCCCCGGGCUUAACCUGGGAAUUGCGCUUGAAACUAGCGGGCUUGAGUGUGGCAGAGGGGGGUGGAAUUCCACGUGUAGCAGUGAAAUGCGUAGAGAUGUGGAGGAACACCGAUGGCGAAGGCAGCCCCCUGGGUCAACACUGACGCUCAUGCACGAAAGCGUGGGGAGCAAACAGG